UACGGGGGGGGCAAGCGUUGUUCGGAAUUACUGGGCGUAAAGGGCGCGUAGGCGGUCAGAUAAGUCAGCUGUGAAAACCUCGGGCUUAACCCGAGGCCUGCAGUUGAAACUGUUUGGCUGGAGUGUGGGAGAGGAGAGUGGAAUUCCCGGUGUAGCGGUGAAAUUCGUAGAUAUCGGGAGGAACACCGGUGGCGAAGGCGGCCUUCUGGGCCACCCUUGACGCUGAGACGCGAAAGCGUGGGGAGCGAACAGG
rnacentral:rRNA from 1 species